rnacentral:lncRNA from 1 species
GCGCGGAGGAGUGCUGUUCGUGUGUUCGAGUCCCUGGGUUGCUUCCUGGGGUCUGUGGUGCUGGGUGUGCUAUCUGCGUGUGAUUCUCUAGCGAGAGAUUGUGGGCGAGUGACCGAGUGGGCAAGGGGCCGUCACUGUGUGUGCGUGAUUUUGACAGUGUGUGGUGGUAGCUUCUGACUCCGCGUGGGUCGUUGAAUGUAUGACUGGGACCGUUUAGCGGUGGAUACACAACUGUGUGCGGCUGUGGAAGAUUGCCUCAUCCGUUACGUUCCCAUUUCCGUGGAACAACAGUUUUACCAGAAGGUUUCGAAGGAACCUUAAAGUUUGGAAGCGCGGCUUUGGUGUCAUCAAAUGUGAGAAGCCCUGGACUUUACACAUCCCGAGCCAGUGUGAUCCAGUAUGAUUGGGAGUCCGAGUGCCAGAUGCCGGUCAGGACCUGUUAUGCUGGGUCUCAGAAUGCGGAAACUCUCCCUGUCCGAGGUGGAACAGUUUGUCCUUGAGUGAGGACUGGAGUCCUGAGUGACUCUUUUGAUUUGAUCCUGUUUCCCUCAAACCUGAGAUGGGAGCCUCACUGUAUUGCCCAGGCUGGUCUUGAACUCCGGAGCUCAAGUGAUCGUCUUGCUUCAGCCUUGCAAAAUGAUGGUGAAGCUGCAUCAUUGUCUGGGGUAAAUACCUGAGGUUCGUUGUCUCACGCCAAGGGAAUCAAGGACGUGGACACACAAGAAAUGGAGUCCCUGUCUGACCGGGCCAUGUUGUAUGUUCCUUGCUGUACACGUGGUUGACAAAGAAAAGGGAAGAUGGAGCUGCGAUGUUGGACAUGCCUGGCCCCCAGGUAGCUUUUUCCUAUUGGCACAGCUGCUGGCAUUCACCCGUGCAAACUUCCAGCUUGCUUAUCUAUGUCUGCA